GCUGGAGCAUCCUCUGCACUUCAAGCAGAAGCAUAAAGCAUGAGGUGCCUCCAGGCACAAGGAGCUUAAUGUUUCCUAAAGAAAGGAAAUAAUUCACGAGAACACUACAAGGAACAACUCCCUCAGCCAUGAACAGGCCUGAACUUUCUUCUGUUUCGUGCAGCCCGCCCCAAACAGACACCGGCAUAACAUGAAAGAUGGUGCCUGGCCUCCUCUGGGUCACUGGAGUGGCUGCCCGUGAGCAGACCAAAUCAAUACCGAACCCCCAGCAGGGCUGAUUUUUUUCCAGGCACGUGCUGGGCCAAGGAUCGAUGCCUGAGCAGUAAAUCAGGUGUGCACAGGCUGCGUGGGGAUCACCACACACGCGCCGAAAUCCCGUGCAGAAGUCCAGGAGCCUUCACCCCAGGGAGCCGGCACCAUCCAUCUGCGCUGUUUGCCGUUACGCUGUCCGACCGCGUCCCCUCGGCGGGCGAAAGGACGCGGGAGUGCAGAGGGGGCCGGGGGACCCCGACGCUGCAGUUGGCACCGGGAGGUUCAGCCCGGGGGCUGGCGAGAGCCAAGCGGCUCCACAGCUCUGCCGCUGCGCUCGGUCGUGCUGCCUCAGGGGCUGUCGUUCAGCGCACCGGUCCCUCCUUCCCUCGCUCAGCUUUCUACUUGGACGUGUCCCGAUCCUUUUGCCUUCUCCAGGUUUUGUUCUAACCUGUGCUCUGGCUCACUGCGAACACACCAGACCUUGCUUGAGCCUUUUUUGUCAUUGCUGGUUGGUUUGUUGUUUUUUUUUUUUUUUUUUUCUCCCUUUUUUGUUCCCUCCCGGCUAAUCCAGUAGCCUCCCCUCAAGUGGCCGAGGUUGUCAGUCCUGCCAAGGAAAUGAGAGAACACAGAGCCUUCUGUCCGCAGAGCAUUCGUCUUGGCCAAGGCACAGAGCUCCAUCGAGCAGAUUGGAAAUUUGUCUUGCCCAGAGAGGUCACCAGCAGCCUGGAGUUUCUCCUGAGUCUUUCUGAAACAUCACCCGUCAGGGCAAAGAGAAGAUGGACUAAAUAGCAGCACUGUUCCUCCAGCUCCUCUUAGCCAGCCCACUGGAAGGGGGAUGCAAAAAGCCAGGACUGUUGAGGGAGUCUUUCUGCAACCAGUGGGGUUCGUAAGGAAGAACUGUUCUGGGUAGGGUUUGAGUGACUUUUUGUGAAAGUUCUAGGGCUCGCCAGGUGUGACAGCUAGGAAAGGAGAAGUUCAUGACUGCAGCUUUGUUUCUUCUUCAGGAAUUGCUUCAGCCUCAGUAAGAGUGAAUCCCUGUUUGCAGGCUCAGCAUUGCUUCCCGCAGCAUACAGUCAGUUCUGAAUCGCGUAUCAGGACCGAGGAAGGAGGAGGCAGGGCGAGUCCCUCACCCACCCGAAUCAAAACCUCACCUCUGCCCGGAGUGCCUCCUGUUCUGCUAGGGCUCUACAUUACACUGUUCUUCUUCAGAAGUUGGUCCUGAAAGUCUGACAGAGUCAGGGAAGAAAUCCUCUCCAGCUCUUUGUGGCGGGGUGGGAUAGGAGGGUGGUGUCUCCUGGUAUCCUGCUGCCUUUUGCUCUGGGUUUUUAGGGUUCAUAACAUCUGGGCAGCUUUCUUCUUGAGCCAUGGCUUUCCAGGCUUACCCAAGAGCGUGGGAUUUGAGCUCUAUGAAAAAUCAUGUUUGUGUUGUGCCACAGGCAAACCAGAAUCCUCCUGUGAACCUCUGCCUUUCUCUCUGGUACUAUUUAGCAGAGGGGCUGCGUAUAGCAGAAAUAAAUCGGGCCGUGCCAAAUGAAGGAUUUAACCCGUAUUGGGUGUGACUUAGUGAGGCUCCCAUGCGUCAGGAAAAGAAGGAAUGAUCAGGAAAUGGGCGCUUGGAGAAGUGGGAACCAGCGUGGCAUUGGCCUAAUGCCAUAAUCCAGGUUUUGCUAUUUUAGGCUCCAACUCUGCUUCCUGGGCAGACAAGCAAGCGCAGGCUCCCGGCAUGAAGAUGUGUCUGGGCACACGGAUUUUGUGUGAAGACAGCUGGGAGGAUGGGACAGAUGUAGAUGUCUGAUCUGCUCCGUCUUACAGGUUGUAGUGAAUGAUUACGAUGCACGUUGCAGCAGCACUGGACUGGGGAGGUCAGGAGAGCAGCGAGGGUGUGCGGCAGGGCAGAGCGAGGUGCUGGCUGGCAUCGCAAUCGCUCCUCGCGCAGGGUUUUGUUGAUCUCUUCCUGCCAAAAGGAGUUUUCUUAGCAUCUUCUUGUCGCACCUGUGAGUCUUUACUUGACAGUCUGGAAAAUUAAUACCCAGCCAAGGUGGGUAGCUGCACUUCCAUCAUGUCAGUGCACUUUUUACAUCUGUUUGUGGCAGUACAUAAAAAGAUCACAGUGCACAGACUGUUAAUUUUUAAGAUUGCCCAAGAUGCUGUGCAGAAUUUUAUGCUGCAGAUCGGUGAGUAUUGUGGUAGUUCUGUAAUUGAAGUCCCUUCAAUGAGUAGCAUGUAGAUAUGCGAAACUAAAGGCAUUAUAUUCUUCCACAGCUACUAAGAAAAUCUUUGAGCGUUAUGUUUGUGUUCUGUCUAAAAGACAGCAUUUAAAUAAAUACUUGGGUUGUUGUCUUCUAAACUGGAUCCAGGUGCAAUGCUUAUUUAAUUGAACGUAUUUUUUAAUUUCCAUCAUGCCUUUCCCCACGCUUACGUCUAAUCUUAUCUGUGUGAUGAUGUUCUGCUGAUGGCCGUGGCUGCCAGCCUCCCUGCACGCAGCACCGCUGCCGUCUCCUUUCCAAAGACGGCCCCAGGAGUUGGGUAGGUCUGACCAAACUUGGGUGUUGGUGCCCAGGCCCUUCUGGUCACGUCAUUCCUGCUCGCUGAGGGGUGCCUCGGCAGAGGAGCUGCCACAUUUGCUCGUGUCCCUUCAGUGGCACUUUUGAGGGUAGUACAGCCCGUACGCAGUGUGGCGGGGCAGCGACCGAGGGCAAAACCUGCCCUGAGUUCAUGAAAUUCGGAAAGCAUUUAGUUAAUGAGCACCAUGCAAAUGUAUGUUUGUUUUCCUGAGCACUGCCAGGUGCACUGUCGCCAUCUCACUUGACCCCGAUUAAUUAUUCAUGUAUAUUACUUGAAUCUUUCUGUCAAGAAGAUGACGUGUGUGUUUGUGUGAGAAAUCAAAUGCAGCGCUGUGGUAGAGAUUACAAACGGGCAAAGGUAUAUGGGGACUGAACUGUGCAAUUUCCCCAGCAGUGUGGUGAUCCCAGAGAGGAAAACAGUAACUGGGGAUAGGACAGGGAGGUGCUAUGGCUACGACAAGGACUUGCUCCGUGGCCUUAGUCAAAUCAUUUACUCCUCACCUCUGUUUCUGCAGCAGGGCAGAAUAUACCGCAAGUAUGUGCAGUUAUACUGCAAGUAUGUGCCCUGCUGCAGUGCCACUGAAGGAUUUAUUUGCAUGUGAUGUAUGGCAUGUCCUGGGUACCACUGUUAACGAAGAACAAAUGAGAUUAGUUGCUUAUUUUGUGGUACUGAAAGUGGAUGUGCAAAGCGUUCCGAAUUCAGAGCACGUUACAUAUGCUGCUCUACGCUAUUCCUGUUUUAUUACUGCAUGUACAGGUGGGGGUCUCCCGUGCUGUGAGAACAAGGACUAAAGUGCUCAGUAUUUUAAAAAUUUAGUUACCGUAUUACCUGAUCAACUUUUUAGACUGUAGGGUUUGUGUCAGAUGCAAAAUGAGCCGAAUUUGGGGUAAGCUCACACGGUAACCUGCGCAGAGGAACCUCUCCUACGUAUCACAGUGGAUUUAACGAAACCAAGAAGCCUAAUGCUCAUCUUGCUUGUCUUCGAUCGCCGUCCAACUACCUCCGUCUGGUUUGCUUUCUACUUGCUAAACGUUUCUGUCGCUUCAGAAGACACACUAACAAAACUUUCCUCCAGCCCCCCUGGUGCAGUAACUCUGGCCAUGGCGCACGUGCGAGGCGAGCGGCGCUGCGGCUGUCAUGGAGAAAUAGGGCUGCAAUACUCCGAGCUGGUGUGGGGGUCCUGCGAGGAUGGAUGUAUUUUAUAAGCCUGCGGGUUCCAGAGCUGCAGCCUCCUGUUUCCCUCGGCCUCCUGUUCCACAAAAGGCAGCGUCUGGUGGUGCGUCCCUGCCUUCCUCCUCAGGUGCGUGGUGAGUCCUGAGCAGCCCCCGAGCUGAAGCAGCCUCUUUCAAUGCGGAGUUUUAGAAGCCGUUCUGUGGAUUCAUAACGCGAUAACGAAAAUAAACCAUCAGCGCCGAUCCCA